AGUGAACGCUGGCGGUAGGCCUAACACAUGCAAGUCGAACGGCAGCACAGUAAGAGCUUGCUCUUAUGGGUGGCGAGUGGCGGACGGGUGAGGAAUACAUCGGAAUCUACUUUUUCGUGGGGGAUAACGUAGGGAAACUUACGCUAAUACCGCAUACGACCUUCGGGUGAAAGCAGGGGACCUUCGGGCCUUGCGCGAUUGAAUGAGCCGAUGUCGGAUUAGCUAGUUGGCGGGGUAAAGGCCCACCAAGGCGACGAUCCGUAGCUGGUCUGAGAGGAUGAUCAGCCACACUGGAACUGAGACACGGUCCAGACUCCUACGGGAGGCAGCAGUGGGGAAUAUUGGACAAUGGGCGCAAGCCUGAUCCAGCCAUACCGCGUGGGUGAAGAAGGCCUUCGGGUUGUAAAGCCCUUUUGUUGGGAAAGAAAAGCAGCGGGCUAAUACCCAG
rnacentral:rRNA from 1 species